rnacentral:tRNA from 1 species
UACAGAGCAGUAUCUGAUGUACUUUAGAUUUUGGAUCUAAAAGAAUGAUUUUGUUGAUUAUUUCUGUAAU